rfam:Felis catus isolate Cinnamon breed Abyssinian chromosome C2, whole genome shotgun sequence.
GCCUGGGUAGCUCAGUUGGUUGGGUGACUGACUUCGGCUCAGGUCAUGAUCUCAUGGUUUGUGGGUUCGAUCCCCGUGUCAGGCU